UAAUACGGAGGGUGCAAGCGUUAAUCGGAAUUACUGGGCGUAAAGCGCACGCAGGCGGUUUGUUAAGUCAGAUGUGAAAUCCCCGAGCUUAACUUGGGAACUGCAUUUGAAACUGGCAAGCUAGAGUCUUGUAGAGGGGGGUAGAAUUCCAGGUGUAGCGGUGAAAUGCGUAGAGAUCUGGAGGAAUACCGGUGGCGAAGGCGGCCCCCUGGACAAAGACUGACGCUCAGGUGCGAAAGCGUGGGGAGCAAACAGGAUUAGAUACCCUGGUAGUCCACGCUGUAAACGAUGUCGACUUGGAGGUUGUGCCCUUGAGGCGUGGAUUCCGGAGCUAACGCGUUAAGUCGACCGCCUGGGGAGUACGGCCGCAAGGUUAAA
rnacentral:rRNA from 1 species